AUGAAAAUAUAAGUGGAGAGGUUCUUUGUAGUAAACCUCUAUUAAGUAUAAGGUAAAUGUUCAGAGCAAUACUUUUCUACAUUAUAGUGUCACAAGGAAAUAAUUAUAGUUAAAAGUAUAUUAAAAUAAAAUAGUAUAUUAUUUUACUAAUUGUACUUUUAUGUAAUGAAAUACAGUACAUUUAAAAAUUGCUAGGGCUGGGCUCAAUGGCGCAUGCCUGUAAUCCCAGCACUUGGGGAGGUCGAGGUGGGUGGAACACCUGAGGUCAGGAGUUCGAGACCAGCCUGACCAACAUGGAGAAACCCCAUCUCUACUAAAAAUACAAAAAAUACAAAAAAUACUUAGGAGGCUGAGGCAGGAGAAUUGCUUGAACAAGGGAGGCAGAGGUUGUGGUGAGCCAAGAUCUUGCCAUUGCACUCCACCCUGGACAAAAAGAAAAAAACUGCCUCCACCCCCCCCAAAAAAGUUAGAUUAUGUGUGAACUUAAUUUUAUUAUUUUUUUAACCAUGUUAAGACUACUGUGCAUUUAAUGAAGCAUUAUUAUGCCACUAACUUUAAACGAUCCUACCUUACUCAAGGGUGAAGCUACAAGAUGGUAACAAUACACAAUUUGGCAUAUAGUGGAAUAACAUUUCUAGUAAUCACUUUGCCCGUGGCUUUAAACUGCAAAUGAGUUAAAGAAUAUUGUUCCCACAGAUUAAAUUUGUACUCUAUUUUCUUCUUGAAAUUUGUUAUUUGUAUUUGUGCGUAUAUAGUAUGUGUAUGUAUUUAUGCCUUAUAUGGCAUCUUUUGACUCAGGCCUACAAUAUGCAGUAAUUACAUUAGGGUAAAUAAGGUGUCCGUCACCUCUAGCAUUUAUCCUUUGUAUUACCAAAAGUGUAAUUAUAUGCUUUUGUUCAUUUUAAAAUGUACAAUUAAAUUGUUAUUGACUACAGGAUUUUUUUAUGGUUAUAAUAAUUAUACAAAAAUACAAAUAAAAUAUGUCCAGGUGCAGUGGCUCACGCCUGUAAUUCCAGCACUUUGGGAGGCCAAGGCAGGUGGAAUGCUUGAGGCUAGGGGUUCAAGACCAGCCUGGCCAACAUGGUGAAACCCCUUCUCUACUAAAAAUACAAAAAUUGACCAGGCAUUUUGGUGCACACCUGGAGGCUGAGGCAGGAGAAUUGUUUGAACCCGGGAGGUGGAGGUUGCAGUGAGCCAAGGUCGCACCACUACACUCCAGCAUAGAUGACAGAGUGAGACUCCAUUUCAAAAAAAAAAAAAAAAGAAAUAGAAAUAAAGUCCAUACAUUUCUGAGUCCUGAAAGUUUAUUAAUAAAUAUUUGUUACAUAGCUGUCUUUGAACAUGUGGUCUCUCUGCCUGCAAGCAUAUAGACUUUUAGUUUUAAUUUACAUAGGGUUAAAUAUACUCAUAUUACUCUGAAGAUAAACCUUAGGUGUAUGAAAAUUAUGAAGCGAGUGUUUUUGUGAGUAUGAGUUUGUACAUAUUUUCAGAAGGAAAGAGCAAUUAUUGCAACAAAACAAAUCAUUUUAAUUAGAUGAUUAACAAAACUAAACACCUUGAAAAUGCUAAAAGCAAAUCUAUACUUUCUGGUUUGUAUUCAAUUUAUUAGUGUAAAAUGUUAUGGCUUAUGAUUCGGAUUCUCCCCGGAAUCUGCUUAUUAAAGCACAGGCAACUUUGUCUCCAGAAACAACACUCUUGAAUACAACAAUAAAACCCCUCUUCAAACAAACAAAAAAAUCAUUUUAACACCUAUUUUAAUGAACAUUCAACCAAAAUUGAAUAAUUGAAUAUAUUUUUAUUGUUCUAUGUGUGUGUGAACAUAUAAAAUGGUGCAUAAAGGAAAAAUGAGCCAGAAAAAAAUGUUAGUUAAGAUUUGUAGUGAAUAAAACUGGAAAGUAGUUAAUUAUUAUAUCCAGUUGAUGUCUUUGUUUAUGUAGAUAACAAAAGCAGCAGAAAGACUUUUUUUUUUUCUUUUUCAAGAUGGAGUCUUGCUCUGUCACCCAGGCUGGAGUGCAGUGGCGUGAUAGCCCACUGUAACCUCCACCUCCUGAGUUCAAGCAAUUCUUGUGCCUCAGCCAUUUUAGUAGCUGGGAUUACAGGUGUGUGCUACCACGCCCGACUAAUUUUCAUAUUUUUAGAAGAGACAGGGUUUCAUCAUGUUGGCCAGACUGGUCUCAAACAGCUGACCUCAUGAUCUGCCUGCCUCAGCCUCCCACAGUGCUGAUAUUACAGGUAUGAGCCACUGUGACAGGCAAAAGACUAUUUUAAAAGUUUAUUUAUGUGGGUAGACAACGUUCUAAGAUAAUACCCUGAAUUCCCAGUCUGUUACACACCAGCUGUGUAAUACUUUCUUCUUGAGUGUAGAAACGUGUGACUGUGGCAGGAGAAUCUCUUGAACCUGGAGGCAGAUGUUGCAGUGAGUGGAGAUGGUGCCACUGCACUCCAGCCUGGGUGACAAGAGCAAAACUCCACCUCAAAAAAAAAAAAAAAAGGAUUAUGUUUUCUGUUUUUUUCCGUGUUGACUUAUUUUACUUAGUAUAAUGUCUUUCAGGUUCAUGAAUGUUGUUGCAAAUAACAAGACCUUAUUUUUAAGGGCUGAAUAGCAUUUCACUGUGUACACAUACCAUAUUUUCUUUUUCCAUUCACCUAUUGAUGGACACUUAGGUUGAUUUCAUACCUUAGCUGUUGUGAGUAAUCCACUUCCUUCCUUCUAUUUUGAUUUUGUUUUUGUUUUGCUUUGUUUGAGAUGGAGUCUCAUUCUGUCGCCCAUGCUGGAGUGCAGUGGCGUGAUCUCUGCUCACUGCAAACUCUGCCUCCCAGGUUCAGUGAUACUCAUGCCUAAGCCUCCUGAGUAGCUGAGGUUACAGGUGUAAGCCACCACACCAGGCUAAUUUUUGUAAUUUUAGUAGAGGCAGGCUUUCACCAUGUUCACCAGGCUGCCUUUCAUUUGUUUGUAUAUUUCUUUCUCCUUUCCCGUCUUUAUCUCUAGAAGUAUUUUAAUUUUAAUAUAUAAAUUAUGACUGUUAACCUUCAUUUCUCUGUUUUUGCAUACUAUU
rnacentral:misc_RNA from 1 species